rnacentral:rRNA from 1 species
AGUGAACGUUGGCGGCGUGGAUUAGGCAUGCAAGUCGAGCGAGAACCGUAGCAAUACGGGGACAGCGGCGAAAGGGACAGUAAUGUGUAGGUACCUACCCCCGGGUUCGGGAUAGCUGCGGGAAACUGCAGGUAAUACCGAAUAAUGUCUCCGGACCAAAGGUGUGAUUCCACCUGGGGAGUGGCCUGCAUCCUAUUAGCUUGUUGGUGGGGUAACGGCCUACCAAGGCGACGAUGGGUAGCGGGUGUGAGAGCAUGACCCGCGUCAUUGGGACUGAGACACUGCCCAGACACCUGCGGGUGACUGCAGUCGAGAAUCUUCGGCAAUGGGCGCAAGCCUGACCGGGCGACGCCGCGUGCGGGAUGAAGGCCUUCGGGUUGUAAACCGCUGUCGUAGAGGAGGAAAUGCAGGGGGGUUCUCCCCUUUGCUUGACCUAUUCUAGGAGGAAGUACGGGCUAAGUUCGUGCCAGCCGCCGCGGUAA